GGUUAAGUUAGAAAGGGCGCACGGUGGAUGCCUUGACACUAGGAGUCGAUGAAGGACGGGACUAACGCCGAUAUGCUUCGGGGAGCUGUAAGUAAGCUUUGAUCCGAAGAUUUCCGAAUGGGGAAACCCACCAUACGUAAUGGUAUGGUAUCCUUAUCUGAAUACAUAGGGUAAGGAAGACAGACCCAGGGAACUGAAACAUCUAAGUACCUGGAGGAAGAGAAAGCAAAUGCGAUUUCCUGAGUAGCGGCGAGCGAAACGGAACAUAGCCCAAACCAAGAGGCUUGUCUCUUGGGGUUGUAGGACAUUCUAUACGGAGUUACAAAGGAACGAGGUAGACGAAGCGACCUGGAAAGGUCCGUCGUAGAGGGUAACAACCCCGUAGUCGAAACUUCGUUCUCUCUUGAAUGUAUCCUGAGUACGGCGGAACACGUGAAAUUCCGUCGGAAUCUGGGAGGACCAUCUCCCAAGGCUAAAUACUCCCUAGUGAUCGAUAGUGAACCAGUACCGUGAGGGAAAGGUGAAAAGCACCCCGGAAGGGGAGUGAAAGAGAUCCUGAAACCGUGUGCCUACAAAUAGUCAGAGCCCGUUAACGGGUGAUGGCGUGCCUUUUGUAGAAUGAACCGGCGAGUUACGAUCCCGUGCGAGGUUAAGCUGAAGAGGCGGAGCCGCAGCGAAAGCGAGUCUGAAUAGGGCGUUUAGUACGUGGUCGUAGACCCGAAACCAGGUGAUCUACCCAUGUCCAGGGUGAAGUUCAGGUAACACUGAAUGGAGGCCCGAACCCACGCACGUUGAAAAGUGCGGGGAUGAGGUGUGGGUAGCGGAGAAAUUCCAAUCGAACCUGGAGAUAGCUGGUUCUCCCCGAAAUAGCUUUAGGGCUAGCCUUAAGUGUAAGAGUCUUGGAGGUAGAGCACUGAUUGGACUAGGGGUCCUCAUCGGAUUACCGAAUUCAGUCAAACUCCGAAUGCCAAUGACUUAUCCUUAGGAGUCAGACUGCGAGUGAUAAGAUCCGUAGUCAAAAGGGAAACAGCCCAGACCGCCAGCUAAGGUCCCAAAGUGUGUAUUAAGUGGAAAAGGAUGUGGAGUUGCUUAGACAACUAGGAUGUUGGCUUAGAAGCAGCCACCAUUUAAAGAGUGCGUAAUAGCUCACUAGUCGAGUGACUCUGCGCCGAAAAUGUACCGGGGCUAAAUACACCACCGAAGCUGCGGAUUGAUACCGAAUGGUAUCAGUGGUAGGGGAGCGUUCUAAGGACAGUGAAGUCAGACCGGAAGGACUGGUGGAGUGCUUAGAAGUGAGAAUGCCGGUAUGAGUAGCGAAAGACGGGUGAGAAUCCCGUCCACCGAAUGCCUAAGGUUUCCUGAGGAAGGCUCGUCCGCUCAGGGUUAGUCAGGACCUAAGCCGAGGCCGACAGGCGUAGGCGAUGGACAACAGGUUGAUAUUCCUGUACCACCUCUUUAUCGUUUGAGCAAUGGAGGGACGCAGAAGGAUAGAAGAAGCGUGCGAUUGGUUGUGCACGUCCAAGCAGUUAGGCUGAUAAGUAGGCAAAUCCGCUUAUCGUAAAGGCUGAGCUGUGAUGGGGAAGCUCCUUAUGGAGCGAAGUCUUUGAUUCCCCGCUGCCAAGAAAAGCUUCUAGCGAGAUAAAAGGUGCCUGUACCGCAAACCGACACAGGUAGGCGAGGAGAGAAUCCUAAGGUGUGCGAGAGAACUCUGGUUAAGGAACUCGGCAAAAUGACCCCGUAACUUCGGGAGAAGGGGUGCUUUCUUAACGGAAAGCCGCAGUGAAUAGGCCCAAGCGACUGUUUAGCAAAAACACAGCUCUCUGCGAAGCCGUAAGGCGAAGUAUAGGGGGUGACACCUGCCCGGUGCUGGAAGGUUAAGGAGAGGGGUUAGCGUAAGCGAAGCUCUGAACUGAAGCCCCAGUAAACGGCGGCCGUAACUAUAACGGUCCUAAGGUAGCGAAAUUCCUUGUCGGGUAAGUUCCGACCCGCACGAAAGGUGUAACGAUUUGGGCACUGUCUCAACCAGAGACUCGGUGAAAUUAUAGUACCUGUGAAGAUGCAGGUUACCCGCGACAGGACGGAAAGACCCCGUGGAGCUUUACUGUAGCCUGAUAUUGAAUUUUGGUACAGUUUGUACAGGAUAGGCGGGAGCCUUUGAAACCGGAGCGCUAGCUUCGGUGGAGGCGCUGGUGGGAUACCGCCCUGACUGUAUUGAAAUUCUAACCUACGGGUCUUAUCGACCCGGGAGACAGUGUCAGGUGGGCAGUUUGACUGGGGCGGUCGCCUCCUAAAGUGUAACGGAGGCGCCCAAAGGUUCCCUCAGAAUGGUUGGAAAUCAUUCGUAGAGUGCAAAGGCAUAAGGGAGCUUGACUGCGAGACCUACAAGUCGAGCAGGGACGAAAGUCGGGCUUAGUGAUCCGGUGGUUCCGCAUGGAAGGGCCAUCGCUCAACGGAUAAAAGCUACCCCGGGGAUAACAGGCUUAUCUCCCCCAAGAGUCCACAUCGACGGGGAGGUUUGGCACCUCGAUGUCGGCUCAUCGCAUCCUGGGGCUGUAGUCGGUCCCAAGGGUUGGGCUGUUCGCCCAUUAAAGCGGUACGCGAGCUGGGUUCAGAACGUCGUGAGACAGUUCGGUCCCUAUCCGUCGUGGGCGUAGGAAAUUUGAGAGGAGCUGUCCUUAGUACGAGAGGACCGGGAUGGACGCACCGCUGGUGUACCAGUUGUUCUGCCAAGGGCAUAGCUGGGUAGCUAUGUGCGGAAGGGAUAAGUGCUGAAAGCAUCUAAGCAUGAAGCCCCCCUCAAGAUGAGAUUUCCCAUAGCGUAAGCUAGUAAGAUCCCUGAAAGAUGAUCAGGUUGAUAGGUUCGAGGUGGAAGCAUGGUGACAUGUGGAGCUGACGAAUACUAAUAGAUCGAGGACUUAACCAU
rnacentral:rRNA from 1 species